GACGAACGCUGGCGGCGUGCUUAACACAUGCAAGUCGAGCGGAGAAUAUAGCAAUAUAUUCUUAGCGGCGGACGGGUGAGUAACGCGUGGGCAAUCUGCCUCAUACAGGGGGAUAACACUGGGAAACUAGUGCUAAUACCGCAUAAAAUAAUGAAGUGGAAUCACUUUAUUAUCAAAGGAGAAAUCCGGGGUGAGAUGAGCCCGCGUCCGAUUAGCUAGUUGGAGGGGUAACGGCCCACCAAGGCGACGAUCGGUAGCCGAACUGAGAGGUUGAUCGGCCACAUUGGGACUGAGACACGGCCCAGACUCCUACGGGAGGCAGCAGUGGGGAAUAUUGCGCAAUGGGGGAAACCCUGACGCAGCAACGCCGCGUGAAGGAUGAAGGUUUUUGGAUUGUAAACUUCUUUGAUUGGGGAAGAUAAUGACGGUACCCAAAAAACAAGCCACGGCUAACUACGUGCCAGCCGCCGCAGUAA
rnacentral:rRNA from 1 species